GAGUCUUCGGACUGCGGAAGAGUGGCGAACGGGUGAGGAACACGUAAGAAUCUGCCCCUCGGUCGGGGACAACUCUUGGAAACGAGAGCUAAUACCCGAUACGCUGUGGAGUGAAAGAAUUUCGCCGAGGGAUGAUCUUGCGUCUGAUUAGCUAGUUGGUGUGGUAACUGCACACCAAGGCGACGAUCAGUAGCUGGUCUGAGAGGAUGGACAGCCACAUUGGAACUGAGACACGGUCCAAACUCCUACGGGAGGCAGCAGUGGGGAAUUUUCCGCAAUGGACGAAAGUCUGACGGAGCGACGCUGCGUGAAGGAUGACGGCCCGCGGGUUGUAAACUUCUUUUCUCGAAGAAGAAACAAAUGACGGUAUUCGAGGAAUAAGCAUCGGCUAACUCCGUGCCAGCAGCCGCGGUAAGACGGAGGAUGCAAGUGUUAUUCGGAAUGAUUGGGCGUAAAGAGUCUGUAGGCUGUAUAGAAAGUCUUUUGUUAAAUUCCUCGGCUCAACCGAGAUCAAGCAAAGGAAACUUCUAUACUUGA
rnacentral:rRNA from 1 species